rnacentral:lncRNA from 10 species
GCUGGGGCGGUUCCUUCUCUGGGGGUCUCACAAGGCUGUAAUCAAGAUAUUGGCUUGGGUUAGUAGUCAUCUGAAGACUUGACCAAGGCUGGAGAAUCCCCUUCCACGGAGUGAAACUCCACACUUCCGCAGUGACUGUUACAGCUCUUAAGGCGGCGCUUCUGGAGUUGUUCCUUUCUCCCGGUGGGUUCGUAGUCUCGCUGGCUUCAGGACUUAAGCUGCAGACCUUUGCAGGUAAUAUUACAGCUCAUAAAAGCACUGUGGACCCAAACAAGGAGCAAACAAACAAAGCUCCCAC